UGGGGUCUCUCUGAACCCCCUCGACCGUCCGAGCUUUCGAACUUCUCCGACAAUGAGCUUCUCCAUUCAUCUACCAGGCCACUCCAAAGGCCCUCUAGGCUUCACUAUCAGCCAACCUUCUACAGUGAUCAACUAUUCUCCGAAUCCCUUCCAGACUUCUUCCGACCAUGGAUGACCCUACUCUGAACUUCUUUCGGACUUCAUCAAUAUUCGAGUUUCUCCGACAAUGAGAUUUCUAC
rnacentral:lncRNA from 1 species